rnacentral:tRNA from 1 species
GCCUUUGUGAUCUAGUGGUCAGCACACUCGACGCGUAAUCGAGAGGUCCGUGGUUCGAAUCCCGGCGAAGGCG